UAAAAAGCUGUGAAGGGAAUUAGUAGUGCUUCUGUCAAUGUUCCAGAAAGCCGGCGGCCGCUGUGAGCCGGUACAAACAGAAGGAUGAAUUACCUCCCCGAGCGCCGCAGUGAACAGAUUCAUCAGUAGCCGCGGACGGUUUAACCGUUAUUUUAUUGAGUGGAAGACAUUUUUUAUUUUGUUUUCAAGCCGGGUGGUACCGCGCAUACAGCGCCCCUGCA
rnacentral:ncRNA from 1 species